rnacentral:rRNA from 1 species
UCCGGCUGUGAUCUCAGCACUUCGCACAGCAGGGCUGGUCAGGUCAGUAGCUGGAUUGGAGACAACAAAAGAAACCUUGGUGUUGCCGGAA